rnacentral:rRNA from 1 species
AUUGAACGCUGGCGGAAUGCUUUACACAUGCAAGUCGAGCGGCAGCACGGGGGCAACCCUGGUGGCGAGCGGCGAACGGGUGAGUAACACAUCGGAACGUACCCUGUCGUGGGGGAUAACGAGUCGAAAGAUUCGCUAAUACCGCAUACGCUCUACGGAGGAAAGCGGGGGACCGCAAGGCCUCGCGCUAACAGAUGAGCCCAAGUCGGAUUAGCUAGUUGGUGAGGUAAAGGCUCACCAAGGCGACGAUCCGUAGCUGGUCUGAGAGGACGACCAGCCACACUGGGACUGAGACACGGCCCAGACUCCUACGGGAGGCAGCAGUGGGGAAUAUUGGACAAUGGGGGCAACCCUGAUCCAGCGACGCCGCGUGUGUGAAGAAGGCCUGCGGGUUGUAAAGCACUUUUAGUGGGGAUGAAAAGCCGAGGGCUAAUACCUUUCGGUCUUGACCUAACCCAAAGAAAAGCACCGGCUAACUCUGUGCCAGCAGCCGCGGUAAUUCUCG